AACGAACGCUGGCGGCAGGCCUAACACAUGCAAGUCGAGCGCCCUUUCGGGGGAGCGGCGGACGGGUGAGUACCGCGUGGGAAUAUGCCCUUCUCUACGGAAUAGCCUCGGGAAACUGAGAGUAAUACCGUAUACGCCCUUUGGGGGAAAGAUUUAUCGGGGAAGGAUUAGCCCGCGUUGGAUUAGGUAGUUGGUGGGGUAAUGGCCUACCAAGCCGACGAUCCAUAGCUGGUUUGAGAGGAUGAUCAGCCACACUGGGACUGAGACACGGCCCAGACUCCUACGGGAGGCAGCAGUGGGGAAUCUUAGACAAUGGGGCAACCCUGAUCUAGCCAUGCCGCGUGAGUGAUGAAGGCCUUAGGGUUGUAAAGCUCUUUCAGCUGGGAAGAUAAUGACGGUACCAGCAGAAGAAGCCCCGGCUAACUCCGU
rnacentral:rRNA from 1 species